AAGUGCUAGGAAAAAGAACUGGAAGCCCUUAUCUUAAAUGAAAUAACUCAAACAGAAAGUUAAUACUAAUGAGCUCACUUAUAAGUAGGAGCUGAACAAUAUGUACACAUGGAAAAAGAAAUUAUAAGGUAUUUUGAAUUGAAUGAAAAUAAAUAUAGAAUAUACUAUAAUUUGUGCGAUGACACUAAACCAGUACUUAGGGGGAAGUUUAUAGCACUAAAAGCUUAUAUUAGAAAAGAAGAUGGUCUCAUGUCAACAACUUCAACUUCUACCUUGAGUAACUAAAAAAAGAGAGAGAAAAUUAAAACCAAAGUAAACAAAAGAAAGACUAAAGCAGAAGUCUGUGAAAUUGAAAGAAAAAUAUAGGCCAGGCGUGAGCCAGCACCUUGGGAGGCCGAGGCGGGUGGAUCAUUUGAGGUCAGGAGUUUGAGACCAGCCUGGCCAACAUGGUGAAACCUCGUCUCUACUAAAAACUUAAAGGUUAGCUGGGCAUGGUGGUGUGCUCCUGUAAUCCUGGCAACCCAGGAGGCUGAGGCAGGAGAAUUGCUUGAACCCAGGAGACGGAGGUUGCAGUGACCCAAGAUCAUGCUACUGUACCCCAGUCUGGAUGCCAGAGCGAGACUCUAUCUCAAGAAAAAAAAAAUACAGAAAAUCAAUAAAUACAAUAAAUAUAACCAAAACGUGGUUAUUUGAGAUCAGUAAAAUGGAUAAGCCUCUAAUAUCAGGAAUGAGAGGUUACAUCACUACAGGGUCUCCAGAUAUUAAAAGGAUAAUGAGGGAAUAAUUUCAUGUCCAUAAAUUUGACAACUUAGAUGAAAUGGACAAAUUUCUUGAAAGACAAACUGCCAAAGCUCACUUUAAAUAAACAGGCCAGGCGUGCUGCUCAUGCCUGUAAUCCUAGCACUUUGAGAAGCCAAGGCAAGAGGAUCACUUGAGCCCAGUAGUUGGAGAGCAGCCUGGGCAACAUGGCAAAACCUCAUCUCUACAAAAAAUGCAAAAAAUUAGCCAGGUAUGGUGGUGUACAGCUGUACUCCCAGCUACUCAGGAGGCUGAUGUGGCAGAAUCACUUGAGCCCAGCAGAGAGAGGCUGCAGUGAGACAUGAUUGCACCACUGUAGUAGCCUGGGCUACAAAGUGACACCUUGUCUCAAAGAAAAAAGAAGAAGGAAGAAGAAGAAAAGGAGGAGGAGGAGGAGGAGGCAGGGGGGAGGAGGAGAAGGAGAAGAAGAAGAGGCGGAAGAGGCGGAGGGAGGAGCAGGAGGAAGAGAAGGAAGAUGAAGAGUAGGAGGAGGAGAAAGAAGGAAGAAGAAAGAAGGAGGAAGAGGAGGAGGAAGAGGAAGAGGAGAAGGAGAAGAAACAGACUACCUUAAUAGCCUUGUAUCUAUUUUAAAAGUUAAAAAUGUAGUUAAACACCAUCCCAUAGAAAAUUCUACGUCCAAAUAGCUUAACUGCUAAAUUCUACCAGACUUUUAAGGAAGACAUAAUACCAAUUUGACACAAACUUCCAACUCAUUCUGUGAAGCCUGAUACCAAAAGCAGACAAAGACAUUACCAAAAAAAUGACAAACCAGCUGGGUGUGGUGGCUCAUGCCUGUAAUCCUAGCACUUUCGGAGGCCAAGGCAGGUGGAUUGCCUGAGCUCAGGAGUUCAAGACCAGCCUGGGCAACACGGUGAAACUCCAUCUCUACUAAAAUACAAAAAAUUAGCUAGGCAUGGUGGUGCAUGCCUGUAGUCCCAGCUACUCAAGAGGCUAAGGCAGGAGAAUUGCUUGAACCCGGGAAGCGGAGGUUGCAGUGAGUCAAGAUCACAUCACUGCACUCCAGCCUGGGUGACAGAGCGAGACUCCAUCUCAAAACAAAACAAAACAAGAAAAUGACAAACCAGUAUGUCUCAUGAACAUAGAUGUAAAAAUUCAAAAAAAAUUUAGCAAAGAUCAUAAAAAAUAUUCUAGGCCAGGCACAGUGACUCAUGUCUGCGAUCCUUGCUCUUUGGGAGGCUGAAGCGGGAGGAUCAUUUGAGCUCAGGAGUUCGAGACCAGCCUGGGCAACACAGUGAGACCUCAUCUCUACCAAAAAUUUAAAAAUUAGCCAGGUGUAGUGACACAAGCCUGUAGUCCCAGUUACUUACAGGCUGAGGCUAGAGGAUUGCUUAAGCCCGGGAGGUCAAGGAUGCAGUGAGCUAUGAUCAAGCCACUGCACUCCAGCCUGGGUGACAAAGCAAGAUCCUGUCUAAUAAAAAGUAGUAAAAAUAGAACUAUCAUUUGACCUAGCAAUCCCAUUACAGGGUAUAUACCCAAAGGAAAAUAAAUCAUUCUACCAAAAAAAUACCUGCACUCAUGUGUUUAUUGCAGCACUAUUCACAAUAGCAAAGACAUGGAAUCCACCCAGGUGCCCAUCAAGAGUGGAUAGGGCCAGGCUCGGUGGCUCACACCUGUAAUUCCAGCACUUUGGGAGGCCGAGGUGGGAGGAUCACUUGGGCCCAAGAGUUUGAGGCCAGCCUGGGCAACACUGUGAAAGCUCAUCUCUACAAAGAAAUUUUUUUUAAAUUAGCCAAGUGUAGUGGCACACACCUGUGGUCCCAGCUACCAGGAAGGCUGAGGUCGGGGGACCCCUUGAGCCUGGGAGGUCAAGGCUGCAGUGAGCUGAGAUAUUGUGCCACCACACUCUAGCCUGGGCAACAGAGUGAGUGAGACUCUGCCUUAAAAAAAAAAAACAAAAAAACCAUAGUGGAUUGGAUAAAGAAAAUGUGGUACAUAUACACCAAGGAAUACUAUAUACCCAUAAAAAAGAACAAAAUCGAGUCCUUCGCAACAAAGUGGAUGCAGCUGGAGGCCAUUAUCCUUAGCAAAUUAAUGCAGAAACAGAAAACCAAAUACUGCAAGUUCUAACCUAUAAGUGGGAACUAAACACUGGGUACACACAGACACAAAGAUGGGAACAAUAAACACUGGAGAUUCCAAAAGUGAGGAGGAAGGGAGGGAGGCAACAGUUGAAAAAAUACUUAUAAGGUACUAUGUCCACUACUUCAGCGAUGGGAUCCUUAGAAGCCCAAAUCUCAGCAUCACACAAUAUAUCCAUGUAACAAACUUGCACAUAUCCUCUCUGAAUCUUAAAGAAAUUCUAUUGAUUUGAUAAAUGAGGUUAAUAACAGGUUUAACAUAAAUCAAUCAUAUUUACAAAUUUAAAAGGCUAUACAGUCAUCUCAAUAGAUGCAGAUACAAAUGCAUUUGUUUUAUGGUAGAUCUUUUUUGUUUGUUUGUUUGUUUUUUGAGACAGGGUCUCACUCUGUUGCCCAGGCUUGAGUGCAUGGUACGGUGAUGGCUCACUGCAGCCUCAACCUCCCAGGCUCAAUCAAUCCUCCCAUCUCAGUCUCCCAAGUAGCUGGGACUACAGGCAUGAACCACCAUGAUCUGCUUAAUUUUAGUUUGCUU
rnacentral:lncRNA from 10 species